CCUGCCCUGAGAGGCCUUGCUGGUAUGGCUGCUGUGUCACAUGUGUGCCAGUAGGUGGCAGAGAAGAGAGAGGCUAUGUCCAAGCUCAGUGUUCAGACCUGAAGGAUUAGUAGCCUAACGCU
ensembl:snoRNA LOC120093986 small nucleolar RNA SNORA17